rnacentral:lncRNA from 1 species
ACAGGGUCCAAAAUAAAAGUGUAUCCCAUAUACUCGACACCGCCUCUUGGCGGCGUCGAAUAACUCGGUCAUUUGAAAAGCAAUUUGCACGAAAUAAACUGAUAUCGUUAGCUAUUGGACACACAAUUCAUUUGCAAUGAAGCGUUAUAAAAAUACCUGGAAUAAAACUACGGAAGCCCAUUUGUGACAGAACCUUUUGCAGGACCCUUGUAUACCAGCAUUUUCGGCAAUGCAUUUUCCCACCCAGUGUUUCCGUAGACAUUUGUGUUAUAUGUAAUUUGUUACGCUGUGCAGCUCCUAAAUCAAUAUUUCUUAGCCAUGUCUAUCGAAUUCAUGAUAAAGUUUAAUUUUGCAGCUUGAUUUGUUCUUUUGGUUAUUCCUCAAUGUGUUGGUUUUCAUGCAACCUUCAGCAUGCUGGUCAACAAAGCAAUCUUGCGGUGUCGAUCAACGAACUGACGGCAUUGACCCGAAAAGUUAGGAAAAUGCAAACGCUGUCACUUAACGUUUGACAUUGGUCGACUCUUUUAGCCACGGACCAUAUAUUUUUAAAUGCAAUAUUUAAGAAUGUACGAGCGUUUAUUUUUAUACCAGCCAUGUACAAAAAUGUUUACUUGAAUAUUUCUUUCUAAUAAAAUUCAUACCGAAAAUUGUACCUUUAUUUGUGGCUGGACAUUGCCUUAAUCUGAAGUAAGAUUUAGAUAAAAGUCCUGUUAGUUACAGAAUCGAUCAUGAUUUCUCUUCGGACAAAGUUCCAUACGAACGGCAUGAUAUGUUUUCAUAACGUAUUUUGUUAUCAAUCAGUGUUACUUCGAGACUGAAAAUGGCAACCGAAUGGAAUAAUAUUAGCUUAAACCGGGAUGCUUUGGAAUGGUGCCAAAAUUUCUUAUACCAUUUUCAUCACAUUAUUGCGUUCUCCAGAAAAUCCACAAGAGUCCAAACAAUUGACUAGCAGUUUGGCUGUUGAUAAGAAUUAUUCUAACUCGAGUCAUUUUCGGUUACUAGGGUCCUACUAAAACAAGGUAAUGUCAAAAGCAGAGAAACGGAAACACAUGCAAUGUAUCAAUUUCGAAUAUCAGGGUUUAAGUGUAAAAUAAGAUUCUAUCCAUAUCAGAUUCCGCAGCUUGACACGUUACAAAGGUCCAUGAAUUCUUAAAAUAUUUUAGGAAGGGUUAGAUAUUUGCCUUCACGUAAUAUUUCCGUUUGUAGCAUUCGAAAACGGCAUGCAUAAAGACACCAGAUUCUAGAGUACAAAAAUAUAUGAAUAAGUCUGAAAACAAAUAACUCAUGUCUAGACUACGAAACAAACAAUCGUAUGAGGUACGUUAAAUGUGUAUUUAACAAUGGAAUACUAGUAAGUGAACGUAAUAACGUUCAACACAUUUGAGUUAUAUAAAAAAGUUUAUUUCAUUUAAGCAUCCCUUGCAAAGUUUUAGCGGGCGGAAAUCUUUUCGGGGAACUUCAGAAUUCAUGCAUGGUUAUCGAUGUGUAUAUGGAAAUAGGUACAAUUCAACACCGUUGCUUACAUUAGAGUAAAUUAGCAAAUUUAUGAGUCAUAAAAGACUUCAUAUCUCUUAUAGAAGAUAAAAAUAAAAAGAUGUCUGAUUUUGCAUAAAAUCAUCAUCAAUCAGUUUUAAUUCUAUAAAUGAUAUGGCAGUUGUUGAGACGUUCUUCGCUCUUCUUGAAAUAACAUAGAGUGCUUUUGCUAAAUUUGGCGUCUGGAAAACCUGAUGGAUAGCUAUUCAAGAUCCUGUAAACACAACAGAGCUAGAACAAACGACAGAAAUUAAAACUAAUUGCUUCGCAACACAGACUUCAUCAUCUUUGUUGAUUAUUGCGUUUUGUCCGGAUAUCAGUAAAGGUAGUUGUAUAGUGGGUAUUAGAAUGACGCUUCUUUACACAAUUUCAUAUAGUACAACUUGAUUUUAAAAGUGUCAUAUUAAGCACUGCCAUUUUUGAAACACUUCGAUUAUGUUGAAUGUACAGAUAUGAACAACAAUACCCAUUCUAAGCAUGUCAUAUUCAGUCCAAAUUAGAAUUUUGUGUCAAAGUAACUUUAUUACAUAUUUCAGACCUAGAGUACUCGCUUAAAGUAAAAACUUAGAGUGAAAGCUUAUCAACCUGUUACAAAUUAAGUUGUCCUCAUUUAACUUUUAUUUUGUUUUGUCUACUUGAUACUAUUGCUUUUAUUUUGAUUGGAAACUUGAUAAUUAGCAGUUGCAAUAUAAAGCUAAUAUUGGAAAAUACUUAUAUUUGCUAAAUAUUUCAACUCGCACUUUCUGAGAAUAUUCUUAAAUUUUAAAAACAUGUCUGAACAUUCAUCAUGGUUAAUCAUGAUUGUCAACGCAAGUCAAAUAAAAGCGGACGUAGUGGCCCAGUGGUAAAACUGUUUGACUAAUAAACAAGUCUUGGGUUCGAGUUCCCACUCCCCUAAAUAAAAUAUACUUACAUUGGAUGAGAGUCCUGUAUAUAGAUUCUUUACACCUGGCUCUCUAUUAAAAAAAACAGGGAAACUUCCGAAAUUGAGACGUCUUCUGUGUUGCCAUUUCAUCUGUCUAAAAUUGCUUACAGUCUUCUGGAGAAGCCUCCUUAUGGGUCACUUGUUUGCAACUGUAAAUAGAUUUGCAUAUAAACUAACGACAAAUAAAUACUCGGCGCACUCAGGACUAACAAAUACUCUACACAUGGAAAACUAUAAGAUAUUGUGCGGACGCAAGACAAAAUUUUAAUACUCUGCGUACGUAGGACAAAUGAAUAAUCUUUUCAAGCAAAACAACUUCAUUUACCUACCCAGUGUACGCAAGGCAAUAUGUGCUAGAAUUGAUUCUGCAGUUGUCCACUUUCAUCUAGGCUUAUCCACAACACUAGUCUGUGACAAAAAAAAAAAACAACAAACAAACAAACAAACGUUCAUUUGUAAUCCAUAUUCUGUUUUAAGAAAGAAUUAAGUAGGAUUGACUAAUGAAUUGCUUUUAGUUAAGCAAUAUUUACUGAAAAUAAAAUGUUGGUAUAUCGAUCAAAUUAAUAGAUAAGACAAAUGUUCACUAUACAGGUUUACAUACAUUUUCAAUUUCUCUUAAAGAUGGAAAGUUAAACUUAACAACAGUUUAUCACGUUUAAAAAAAAAAGAGUAAGACAUCAUUUAUUACGCCGCUUGUAAAAUGAUUAAUCAUAGGAGCUUCCAGACAAAAGUUUAAAAGUUUUGUUUGAUUAUAUUAAAUCCAAACAUUAUGGCGUUAAGUUAUAUUUUGAUUAGUUAUUCUCUUGCAAAACAAUUUUACUUGCAACAUUAACUUGUUGAAUACAUUUUUCAUAAAAGGUUAAUUUUUAAAGAAAACAAACCAUCUUAAUGUAUCCUUGUUGUUGGCAGAAACAUGGAUACCUCUGAGACAGAGUGUUACUCCUAUAUUUCUGAAGCAAAAUUAUUGAAGCCAGAUAUUGGCAAACAGUGGGAAAUAUGAAAUUACAAAUUAAAAGGUAAGGAUAUAUAGGUAAGGAUAUAUUGCCUAGAAGCAGAGAGCACACCAAACACAUUCAGAACAACCCGUCGCCAGUAGGCCCGUCGCCACAAAUAGAACAUCUAGUGGACAUGUGUAAUAUUCGUCAACACAAACAUUCUAUUAUACGUAAGAUAUAAAAUGAGGAUGUAGUAACAAAAACGAGGGUGGGGGAGUGUUGGGGUUGUUGCUGAGAAAUGGAAGAAACCAGGGAUGAACAAAAUAUAUAGGAAAGCUGCAUUCCAAAAACAAAGUAUUUCCAAACCACACCAGUACAAGUACAGACGCCCCAAAAACGUGACACACACACGCAAGCACGCACGCAUGCAGGCUCUUACGAACACAAUAAAACAGAAAGCAAAUAAAGAAAAUGAAGAGACAAUGGAAAACAGUGUAAAUCAAAUUAUUCUCCAUAAAGAAAAUCUCUAACAUUAGAAUGAAUAAAGUAAAACAUAUAUAGAUAUGGUCAUUUCGAGGUAUAAGUACACGAAUGUAUUCAACAACUUGUUUGAAGUCAGACAUUCCUUAUAUUUUAAGUGCACAUUUAAGCAAAUUUUAAUAUUUCCUACGUCAGUUAUUUAGGUUUUAAGAGAAAAACAUCAUUGGGUCUCACGCUAGAGUAGUCAUCGUAUAAUCAAACAACAACAACAACAACAACAACAACAACAACACUCCCCCUCCAAAAAAAACCCAAAUCGACUUGCUAUAGAUAUGUCAAUUACUGAUGUUGUAAAUAUGAAGUUUAUACCGUCCUUGUAAAAAGCUAAUUGUUAACCUGUAAAUUCUGCGUAGUUGCACAACAUACGUCAAAAUUUACGUGAAAAAUAAACAUGAGAUGGUUUACAAAACAUCAUUUGUUUAUAAUGCUUUCUGAAAGUCAGGUAAACUUUUUUUGCGAAAUCUGAUAGGAACGCACUGACAUUUAUCAUUUACGAAUCACAAAUGUAUGUGUUUUUGUUUUGUUUUUGUUUCUAAUAUUUCUUUUUUAUUUUACAAGAGAUAUAAUAACUGAUAUACAGAAAAUGCUGCGUUUGAGACCAAAAACCUUUUCCAACAUUUUGGCUGCUCAAUGUCAAAUUUACUUCAUAAAAGAGCUGAGUCUUGCACUAAUGCUUUAAAGUUUAUAGUGUCUGAAUAUGAUAUAAUGAGGUGAUAGUUCAGGUAUUACUGAAGACUCAUUACAAAGUUGAUGUGUAACAACAAGAAUUUACAUUCAGUUGAUUGUAAGCAAAUGAAAAGAUAAUAGGUAAGUUGUUAGUAAGACAGCGUUGCACGCAUUCAAACAUAAGAUAAUAUUUGAUUAUAUGGAAAUGAAAUAAAAACAUAGACGACUCGAUGGUUGGAAUUCUCGUACAAUAUCAUUAAAUAAUAGACAAGUAAAAUAGAUUGAAAUAAAAAGUGAAUUAACGGAGCAUGUUUUCAAAUUAUUUCUUCCUAGUACCUUCCUGAAUCAAAUAUCAUACUGCAAAAUGACAGAAAUAUCGAUUAUAGCAAGAUCUUUAAAACGAAUUAUUUGCUCUAAGUCAAAGGUUCAACAAUGUUGCCUAGACGAAUGUAGUAACGUUUCUUGAAGAGUGCAUUUAUUUAGAAAUUGGUGUAAUUUUACAGUACUAGUCUGUAACUAUUCUGCUCCAUGCUAAAGUGCAUUUUGGAAUAGUUUCUAACCCAGUUGUUGUCAAAACUUUAAAAUUUAUCAUUUUGUUAUUGUCUGUAGCAAUAAAAUGUGAUGUGAGAGGUUUAAAUCAAAGUUGGUCUAGCACAGAUAACACGACAAUAACGUUCAUGAAUACGUCACUAUCGAAGAAAAAAUUCUGCAUAUCCGGGAAAAUCAUGCGUUUCUUCCAGUUAUCGACUUUGUACAUUCGUUUGUACUCUUGACACUUAUGGAACUGAAAAAAAAAAUAAGGGAUGGGAUUCAACUUGUGUCAGAUAGACGUGGAAAGAAGAAAAACCUUCGAAAGUAAACAAUGUCAGCAAAACUCACGCUAAUUAUGUUAAUACAUUAAUCUGUCGACUGCGUAAAGGAUAUUCGUAUUAGGCAUGAAACAAAUAACGAUAUGAAAUCGGUAAUUUCUUAGUACUACUGAGUAAGUUUGAUUUUCAUUUUUGUUUCCACCAAAAGUGAUUCCCUUAUCUUGCAGAAAGAAGGUUCUGCUGAAAAUAGAUCACGUUUGUCUUAUUACUAACAUUGAAAUUAUAAAAUGAUAAAAUAAAACAAUUAAUUUAUCACAUGUGAAAGUGAAUGCUACAUUUUCGACUUCUCUGUUGUAAAUAAACGCAUCGCAGUGCGGUAGAAUCUAUUAUGUUCGUUUGCAUUUCGAGCAAAUUUUUGUUUUGAAUGCAGAUAACAACGGUGUACUUAAAACGUGUAUAAUAACAAAUUUUCUCGUAAUCAUAAUAAUCUGUAAUAAACCUAGUAUGUCAUUUUCUUUGAAAAACAAACCGUCAGUAUUAAAGUUGAUACGCGCAUGUUUCACGCAAACUAUAGACACGAUACGCGCAGAUUUUGACAAGCGUUACAUUGAGACAUAAUGACACAGAUAGUAAAAUUCACACAAAUUGUUUAGAAAAUACGUCUACGCAGAUCUAAAUAGUCAUAACAAAAACGAAAUCACAUGGGCAGACAUGUUUGGUGAAAUCAUGCAAGAAACAACACAAGAUACUUUAGAAGCACAGGACACAAUCAAAGAAAUUAGUAGCACAUUCAAUUUUACUGAGUCUGUUCAAGAUAGAAAAUGAAAUGUGUAAAACCCUCCAACUCCCCAACCACCCUGACUUUUGAAAGGAUCAGAAAUAACAACAACAUUGAUUCCACUGAAAUAUACUCUGUUUGCAGCUUUUCAGCACAAGGACGGUAACAGAUAUACUGUAUUUCUAUAAUUAGCGCAAUAUUAUCCCUUUUCAUGCUUUUUAUCAUCAUGAUGACGAGUACGAGCAAAGAGCAAUUGUCAAGCGGUAUGCAACUGAAGAAAGUCAAAUUGUCCCUAUAAUUUGACUUUCUUCAGCUGCAUACUGCUUGAUAUAGGUCCGGAGAUUUAUUAGAACUUAUUUUUAAAAAUGUUUUGCCAUAUCCAUAUACAGUAAACCUCGCUUAUAAGGAACAGCUUGGGACCUCUAAAAAUUGUUCCUUAUAACCGAGGUUCCCUAUAUCCGUAUAGCGAACUAAUUCCUUAUAACCGAUUUUUGUAUAACGAACACAAUUUGUACAGCGAACACCCUUUGACCGACGUUUUAAAGGGCUCCGGGUCGACCAUGAAUCUUUAUGUGAGAAAGUUGUGAGUCUAGUACCGGUCCUAUCCUACAGAGAUUGAAAUAGUGUUGAAACACGGCGUUUAAACCUAAACUAAGCCAAAAUGGGUAAGAAUGAUUUGUGUUGAGUUUUUGUCGGCUAUUUCUAUCUUCCUUUUUAAGAAAGCACUACAGUAUGAUUAUAAGAUAUGUUGCAACCCUUACCUUGCUCGACAGCAUUUUAUGUGAACAGGCAUCAAUACUUAUAUAAAAUAAAUGUUCAAAUAAUACAGUGCAUUACGACUAGACAACGGCGCCAUACAAACGGACUAAAAUGUAAAUUAUAUCUAUAGUUUUGCUAUUGUCCAUUUUAGCACCUGCUUUAAUUUUUACAAUUGAAAAUUGGGUAAACUGGACUGUUUAUCAUUGUUAAUCACGCGUAAUUAACACAUUUAUUUAGGACAGUAUGACAUGACCGUGUCCACGACUGAUUUUCGUUCACUAUUGUUAACAUGAAAUACCUCAUACAUGUAGCUCUCAAACAUAAUCUCGAGUAAAUAUAAGUUGAUUAUGAUAUUAUUUAUUUUCUUUUAUUAUAUCCGUGAAAUAACAAACUAAAGACCAUAGAAAUGAAAUAAUAUGUGUUUAUUCAUGUGCAUAAAAGCGCGUGAAAGUGCCGACGUUACUCUGACGUCAUCAGCGAUUCUCCUGUUUAUUUCCAGUUUUCAAUAAUUUUUAUUAUUUAUUUAUGUUCGCUAUAACCGAGGUGUUUUCUAUUGAAUUUCCACCUUUGGGACCACAAAAGUGUUCCUUAUAACCGGGUGUUCCUUAUAACCGAGUUCCCUAUAACCGAGGAUUUUUACAUUGAAUAAAGAAGGAAUUAGAUCGGGGAAUUGAAAACUGUUCCUUAUAACCGAGUGUUCCUUAUAUCCGAGUUCCUUAUAAGUGAGGUUUACUGUAUUUAUUCUUGUCUUUAAGAAAACAUUUGCUGAAACGUAUGAAUAGAUUUGUUAAGGUUAUGAAUGAAUUCAUAAAACAAUUGCAUUGAAAAUGAAGACGACAGAAAGGUAGAUACCGACGAGACCUACGAGGCUGUGUUUGAUAUUGUCCGCUGUGUGUGCAGAACUACGUAAAUAUAACCAAACUCAAGCACAGAAUGCAAUUUAUCAAAAUAGCAGCAGAAUCAGUUUUAUUGAGUCUGUUCAUGACUGGUGCCUCAUGCCCCUUCAUCCCACCCAAGCAACUGUUUAAGCGAAAUUCUAUUACACAGAUAUUGAUGGACUCCAUGGUCCCAUAAAGAAAAUUCUGUCAUACAUACAGAAAUAAAAUGUCAGAUUUCGCAUUAAAUCAAUUCCAGAUAUGUCAGUCUCUAAGACGUUCUCCGUUCUCUUCUUUAAAUAGCUUAGCCUGUUUGUGUUGUGAGCUUUCGGCGGCAAAAAAGGAGACAGCUUGUCUUAUUUACACAACAAAGCGGUUGGACAAAAUUUUAUGUGGGGUGGUGGAGUGGUUAAGGUCACUGAUUUUAAAUCACUUGACUCUCAACGAUGCGGGUUCGAGCCUCACUUGGGGCGUUGGAUACUUCGUGCGAAGAAGCCAUCUAGCUGGCUUUCAAAAGGUUGGUGGUUCUGAGGAACGUACUCACACAGCCAUAGACAGAAAACACAAUCCAGCAAAGACGAAACGAACAAUGGAAGGAACAAGUAUUGCAAUGCUGUUAUUGUCAGAGUCAAAAACACCAUGUGGGAUCUCAGAUUUAGUGAAAUACCUUUAUAACAGUGAAUGCUUCGAAUUAUAGAAUAUAUGAGGUGUGUGUAUCAAGGACUUCCGUAUUAAAAAAUACACCGGUUUAUAUGAUA